rnacentral:rRNA from 1 species
UACGUAGGGUGCAAGCGUUGUCCGGAAUUAUUGGGCGUAAAGAGCUCGUAGGCGGUUUGUCGCGUCGGCCGUGAAAUCUCCACGCUUAACGUGGAGCGUGCGGUCGAUACGGGCAGACUUGAGUUCGGUAGGGGAGACUGGAAUUCCUGGUGUAGCGGUGAAAUGCGCAGAUAUCGGGAGGAACACCGGUGGCGAAGGCGGUUCUCUGGGCCUUACCUGACGCUGAGGAGCGAAAGCGUGGGGAGCGAACAGG